GUCUCUCUGUGUGAGAAUGGGGGGGACGUCAGACCCUCUCCUCUCCUCCAUCUCCGUGUCUCUCUGUGUGAGAAUGAGGGGGACGUCAGACCCUCUCCUCUCCCCCAUCUCCGUGUCUUAGCAAAGGACUAAAGAAGAAAAAUGCCUCUGUAGAAUAACGCGACAGAGCUGCACGCUUUAUCCGCUCGUUGUCAUGCCGAUUCAUCUCUCUCUUUUUGUUGUUGAUAUUACUACUACUAUUAUUAUUUUAUUUUUGUAAAAAUUAUUUUGGGAAUCUGAGGACAACUGACAAUGAAUUCCUGUGCGGAGGGAGGACACGUGUCUGAGGCUUUUACAGUACAGGACCAGGACAACUACACUACCCAGGAAACACCGGGGUUUUUUUGGAAGGUCAAUCCUGAUGAUUCUACCCAGAGGUCACCUGAUCAGACCCUGCAGAGGUCAGGGUCAGGACAGACUGAGACUACAGAGACUCUAUUCCACUUUACAUACACUAGCUGAUGCUGAUUGGUUAAGCUUGGCCUUACCAACCAUCCUGUUUGCCAUUCCAUUCUGUAUGUCAGUUUAAUAUUAGUGGUUAGAUGGGAGAGGAGGGCCGUUAUAUAAAUCCUAUGUGCCAUGGUUUUACCUCCCGGCAUCAUGACUUACUUCAACGUCUUGAUGCUAUGUACCUCCGUUUACACUGUCCGUUACAGUAAUACACACACACACACACACACACACACACACACACACGGUCGUUGUGUCUCUGAAUCAACUCAACACAAGCUGACUCUGUGUGUGAAACUGAGGACGUUCCACAACGGUGAGCGAGGGAACGAUGGCCUCCUGUUAUAUUGGAGAUUUAAGACCAGGCUAACAACUGAUACAGGGUCAGAUAUUUUGACUUUCUCCUAAUGGGCAAGGUUAGGAUGUGGGUAGAGCAAGCUGAUCCUAGAUCUGAGAAUAUGAGUCCCCUAAUGGUUAACGUUAGGAUGUGGGUAGAGAGCAAGCUGAUCCUAGAUCUGUGAAUAUGAGCAACGUCUACCCUGACCACUACUACGACUGAGCCCUUUACCCAGCAUGCUUUGUGGUCCUCAUUCAAGAUGGCGGCUCUGUCAAAGGGCCAAGUUUUACAGUCCUUGUACUUGUAAUAAUCUCAUUUCUAUUCUAAACUUCACCUGGUGAACCAGCUCUCCUUACUGCUGUGUGUGUGUGUGUGUGUGUGUGUGUGUGUGUGUGUGUGUGUGUGUGUGUGUGUGUGUGUGUGUGUGGGAGGGGGGGGUCCUCAGCUUGCUUCCUUCUGAGGAUUUGUUUCAUAAUGACAUCCAGGUUGAGCUGACUGUAACAGUUGAUUCAUAAUGACAUCCAGGUUGAGCUGACUGUAACAGUUGAUUCAUAAUGACAUCCAGGUUGAGCUGACUGUAACAGUUGAUUCAUAAUGACAUCCAGGUUGAGCUGACUGUAACAGUUGAUUCAUAAUGACGUCCAGGAUGAGCUGACUGUAACAGUUGAUUCAUAAUGACAUCCAGGUUGAGCUGACUGUAACAGUUGAUUCAUAAUGACGUCCAGGUUGAGCUGACUGUAACAGUUGAUUCAUAAUGACGUCCAGGUUGAGCUGACUGUAACAGAUGAUUCAUAAUGACGUCCAGGUUGAGCUGACUGUAACAGUUGAUUCAUAAUGACAUCCAGGUUGAGCUGACUGUAACAGUUGAUUCAUAAUGACGUCCAAGUUGAGCUGACUGUAACAGUUGAUUCAUAAUGACGUCCAGGUUGAGCUGACUGUAACAGUUGAUUCAUAAUGACGUCCAGGUUGAGCUGACUGUAACAGUUGAUUCAUAAUGACGUCCAGGUUGAGCUGACUGUAACAGUUGAUUCAUAAUGACGUCCAGGUUGAGCUGACUGUAACAGUUGAUUCAUAAUGACGUCCAGGUUGAGCUGACUGUAACAGUUGAUUCAUAAUGACGUCCAGGUUGAGCUGACUGUAACAGUUGAUUCAUAAUGACGUCCAGGUUGAGCUGACUGUAACAGUUGAUUCAUAAUGACAUCCAGGUUGAGCUGACUGUAACAGUUGAUUCAUAAUGACGUCCAGGUUGAGCUGACUGUAACAGUUGAUUCAUAAUGACGUCCAGGUUGAGCUGACUGUAACAGUUGAUUCAUAAUGACGUCCAGGUUGAGCUGACUGUAACAGUUGAUUCAUAAUGACAUCCAGGUUGAGCUGACUGUAACAGUUGAUUCAUAAUGACGUCCAGGUUGAGCUGACUGUAACAGUUGAUUCAUAAUGACGUCCAGGUUGAGUUGACUGUAACAGUUGAUUCAUAAUGACAUCCAGGUUGAGCUGACUGUAACAGUUGAUUCAUAAUGACGUCCAGGUUGAGUUGACUGUAACAGUUGAUUCAUAAUGACAUCCAGGUUGAGCUGACUGUAACAGUUGAUUCAUAAUGACGUCCAGGUUGAGCUGACUGUAACAGUUGAUUCAUAAUGACGUCCAGGUUGAGCUGACUGUAACAGUUGAUUCAUAAUGACGUCCAGGUUGAGCUGACUGUAACAGUUGAUUCAUAAUGACGUCCAGGUUGAGCUGACUGUAACAGUUGAUUCAUAAUGACGUCCAGGUUGAGCUGACUGUAACAGUUGAUUCAUAAUGACGUCCAGGUUGAGUUGACUGUAACAGUUUACAGCGUAGCUUACACCUCCUUACGCCACACAGGGUAAUUUUCUCAUGCUAUAUUUAGGUACGGCUUAGGUACACACACACACACACACACACACACACACACACACACACACACACACACACACACACACACACACACACUGCAUCCCACCGCCAGACCCCCAGGCAGACAGACAGCUGUUGUAACAUUCCCUCAGCUCCAGUCCUAAAGAUAACAGUCUGUACUUGGCUCUCAGGUGGAGGUGACAGGGAUGAUAUGGGUGAGAUAGAGGUACAGAUAGAGGUACAGGCCAGCCCCCCCCCCCCCCCUCCCCCCAGCCGAUAGCAGGUUAUAGGUAUUUCUGCUUUUAAAGGCAUUAUCCCAUUGAGCCACCGUAUGUAGUGUUUACCGUGAGUGGGAUCUCCCUGAACCCGGAAAACAUUGCCUUUAAAAGCCUCACUGCCUCUCUAACCUUAAGUAUUCAUGUAGUGAGCUUGUGGGUUCCUGACUGUCUGGUUUCCUGCUUCACACAAACACUACAGGCCAGGCUUUUAAUCAACUGGUCCCACUUUGAUUUGUUCACCCUCAAUGACGUGCUGUACAUAAUGUAUUUAUCUAUCUAUUUAUUUAUUUAUUGACUGAGGAUUGUGAUUGGUUGAGACAGUCUUUCAGCCAAACAGACCAGUUUAAAGCUGAGCCUGUUGGUUUGGUGUGUCAUGAUACUGGUCAGCGGGUGGCUCAUUUAGGUUACGGGCAAAUCUGAAAUGGCUCCCUAUUACCUAUGUAGUGCACUACUUUGAGCCAAAAAGAAGUGCACUAUUAGAGAAAAGAAUAUAUAUAAGGAUUGGUAAAGGAAUAAGAGGAGCUUUUGAGCAAUACCUGAAGAACAUAUUCCCUACAUAGAACAAGUCAACUACUUGGCCAAUAGGAGGAAUUCUAGCUCUUAGCUGUGGCUGCUGGUCCACUAGGGGAUUCUAGCUCUUAGCUGCUGGUCCCCUAGGGGAUUCUAGCUCUUAGCUGUGUCUGCUGGUCUACUAGAGGAUUAUAGCUCUUAGCUGUGGCUGCUGGUCCACUAGGGGAUUCUAGCUCUUAGCUGCUGGUCCACUAGGGGAUUCUAGCUCUUAGCUGUGGCUGCUGGUCUACUAGAGGAUUCUAGCUCUUAGCUGUGGCUGCUGGUCCACUAGGGGAUUCUAGCUCUUAGCUGCUGGUCCACUAACGGAUUCUAGCUCUUAGCUGUGGCUGCUGGUCUACUAGAGGAUUCUAGCUCUUAGCUGUGGCUGCUGGUCCACUAGGGGAUUCUAGCUCUUAGCUGCUGGUCCCCUAGGGGAUUCUAGCUCUUAGCUGUGGCUGCUGGUCCACUAGGGGAUUCUAGCUCUUAGCUGUGGCUGCUGGUCCACUAGGGGAUUCUAGCUCUUAGCUGUGGCUGCUGGUCUCCUAGGGGAUUCUAGCUCUUAGCUGUGGCUGCUGGUCCACUAGGGGAUUCUAGCUCUUAGCUGUGGCUGCUGGUCUACUAGAGGAUUAUAGCUCUUAGCUGUGGCUUCUGGUCCACUAGGGGAUUCUAGCUCUUAGCUGUGGCUGCUGGUCCCCUAGGGGAUUCUAGCUCUUAGCUGUGGCUGCUGGUCCACUAGUGGAUUCUAGCUCUUAUCUGUGGCUGCUGGUCCACCAGGGGAUUCUAGCUCUUAGCUGUGGCUGCUGGUCCACUAGUGGAUUCUAGCUCUUAGCUGUGGCUGCUGAUCCACUAGGGGAUUCUAGCGCUUAGCUGCUGGUCCCCUAGGGGACUCUAGCUCUUAGCUGUGGCUGCUGGUCCACUAGGGGAUUCUAGCUCUUAGCUGUGGCUGCUGGUCCACUAGGGGAUUCUAGCUCUUAGCUGUGGCUGCUGGUCCACUAGGUGAUUCUAGCUCUUAGCUGCUGGUCCACUAGGUGAUUCUAGCUCUUAGCUGUGGCUGCUGGUCCACUAAGGGAUUCUAGCUCUUAGCUGUGGCUGCUGGUCCACUAAGGGAUUCUAGCUCUUAGCUGUGGCUGCUGGUCCACUAGGGGAUUCUAGCUCUUAGCUGCUGGUCCACUAGGUGAUUCUAGCUCUUAGCUGUGGCUGCUGGUCCCCUAUGGGAUUCUAGCUCUUAGCUGCUGGUCCACUAGGGGAUUCUAGCUCUUAGCUGUGGCUGCUGGUCCACUAGGGGAUUCUAGCUCUUAGCUGUGGCUGCUGGUCCACUAGGGGAUUCUAGCUCUUAGCUGUGGCUGCUGGUCCACUAGGGGAUUCUAGCUCUUAGCUGUGGCUGCUGGUCCACUAGAGGAUUCUAGCUCUUAGCUGUGGCUGCUAGUCCACUAGGGGAUUCUAUUUUUGUUCUGAUAGCUAUCUUGACUUUUGUGUCCAGCUUUACUUCAACAGUACUUGAUUGCAAUUUUAUAAAUUCACAUUGAAUCUCGAGAGUGCUGUGAAAAUAAUGAGCUGUUGUGGGCUUACAGAUUUGUAACGUCCGGGAGAGUGUUUUCUUUCAGUAGUCUUUUUCCCGACCCCUAGCUAAGCUAACAGGAUUGGUUAGCUUAGCUAGCUGCAUACUGUCAGUUUAGCUAGGAUAGCUAGAUUGGUUAGCUUAGCUAGCUGCAUAAUGUCAGUUUAGCUAGGUAGGAUAGCUGGAUUGGUUAGCUUAGCUAGCUGCAUACUGUCAGUUUAGCUAGGAUAGCUGGAUUGGUUAGCUUAGCUAGCUGCAUACUGUCAGUUUAGCUAGGAUAGCUGGAUUGGUUAGCUUAGCUAGCUGCUACUGUCAGUUUAGCUAGGAUAGCUGGAUUGGUUAAUUUAGCUAACUGCAAAAUGGCUGGAUUACUGACAUCAUCACUCCCCAACCUCAACCCUGUACAGCUCUACUGUACACUGGACAUACUGUACUGUACCUAUGUUAAGGCCAAGCACCAAGCUGACAGCACCCCCCCCCCCCCCCCCUCUCCCCCUCUAUCUCUAACAGAAGAACUGUCCAGGGGCAUUUGUCAUCACCCACCAAUUAUCUCUCUCUCCCUCUCCCCCUCUCUCCCUCUCCCCCUCUCUCUCUCUCUCUCCCUCUCCCCCUCUCUCCCUCUCUCCCUCUCCCUCUCUCUCCCCCUCUCUCCCUCCCCCCCCCUCUCUCCCUCUCCCUCUCCCUCUCUCCCUCUCCCUCUCCCUCUCCCUCUCUCCCCCUCUCUCUCCUUCUGUCUAACAGAGGAAGAGUCCAGGGAUAUGUUCAAUGUAUUUUUUUCCCACAUGGUGACCAACCCAACAGGUUAAAACUCUGUACUGAUGAAUAAGACACUGUAUAAUAAUUAUAACAAUAAAAGUAUGUUGUAAGUCCUUCUGAUUGACACAAGAGGAACAUGUUCAGAGGGUUAAAACACAUCAGUCUCCAGAACACUGUCAACAACUGGGAGGGACACUGGUCUGUUACGUAGAGCAUCUGAAGACAGGACAGAAACAUGCUUUUCAGAAGGUCUAUGGAGGGAAAACAGUUGAUGACUGAACAUGUGACUUCUAUCCAGGUCUCCAUUGGUUCAACUGUUUCAGUUUAAACUGAGUUUACAGUUUAAACUGAGUUUACAGUGAUCUGCCCGAUACGGUAUGGUGGCCUGGGAGGGACACUGGUCUAUGGGGUAUUUAGGGCCCGGGAUUCCAUCCAUAGAGAGCUCUCGGCUAUGCAGCUUUUACAGUGAUCUGCCCGAUACGGCGGUACGGUGGCCUGGGAGGGACACUGGUCUUUUACAGGCUCAUGUUACUCUUAGGGACGACUGUACUCUACACCUCUUGUCUGUCUGCCACACUCCCUUACCUACAUUCCUAUAUAAUGGGUACUAUUUUGGUAUCUCUCUGUUUAUUAUUUGUGACACAGAGGUCAUAUGGAGAUGUGUUUUUUUGAGGGUUUGUUUCUUCUUUUAUUAUGUUUUGCUCAUUUUGUUUUUGUGUAAAUACUGAUACUGUGGUGAUGAUAUGAAACAUUUGAUUGGACGGGAGAGAAAGCGGUGUGGUGAAUCUAAUGGAUUUGAUUGGACGGGAGAGAAAGCGGUGUGGUGAAUCUAAUGGAUUUGAUUGGACGGGAGAGAAUGUGGUGUGGUGAAUCUAAUGGAUUUGAUUGGGCCGGAGAGAAAGUGGUGUGGUGAAUCUAAAGGAUUUGAUUGGACGGGAGAGAAAGUGGUGUGGUGAAUCUAAAGGAUUUGAUUGGACAGGAGAGAAAGUGGUGUGGUGAAUCUAAAUGAUUUGAUUGGGCCGGAGAGAAAGAGGUGUGGUGAUUCUAAUGGAUUUGAUUGGGACGGGAGAGAAAGAGGUGUGGUGAUUCUGAAGGAUGGCUGCAGUGCCUUGUCAGAGAGCAGUUGUUGUUUUUUGACACGGUAUUUGGUUCCAGUCUGCACCGUUUUAGUAAAAGUUGUACAAAACUAAA